rnacentral:rRNA from 1 species
UACAAGGGGGGCAAGCGUUGUUCGGAAUUACUGGGCGUAAAGGGCUCGUAGGCGGCCAACUAAGUCACACGUGAAAUCCCCAGGCUUAACCUGGGAACUGCGUGUGAUACUGGAUGGCUUGAAUCCGGGAGAGGGAUGCGGAAUUCCAGGUGUAGCGGUGAAAUGCGUAGAUAUCUGGAGGAACACCGAUGGCGAAGGCAAUCCCCUGGGCCUGCACUGACGCUCAUGCACGAAAGCGUGGGGAGCAAACAGGA